UCUCUCUCUCUCCCUCUCUCUCCCCUAGUUCCCUUCCUCCUAUCCCUCCCUCUUAUUCUCAGUUAUUACCUACGGCAUACGGUCAGUCCCUAAUCGCUGGAGUGGGUGGAGUUGAGUCCAACUACUUAACGCAGUGCCUCCCUUGUAUCACCGAUUACUCUCACUCUGAUCUUCCUUCCAUUAUGAUAUUUGCUGAAUAUCUGGCAACACUAGAAGGUCCAAUGUGGCGGCAGAUUAGAGGGAUGGGUCUAUCCUAUCAUUACAGUUUAACUGCCUCGCCGGAGACUGGUCAUCUCACUUUUGUGUUGUACAAGUCCUCGCAGCUGGUUCAAGCUUAUGAGGUCGCUAGGGAC